UUUUCUUUCUUUGGUUUGUUUGCCACAAUAAUUUUCUUGUGUAAUUCUUCUUUUACCCUUUGAUGGUUUUGUUACUAUUUUUGUUUUUGUGUUUGUUUGCAGUUUUUGUUUUUGUUAUUGUUUUACAUUUUUUUUGUUUUUGUUUAUAUUAUUAAUAUCUACAUUAUUUUUAUUUUAAAAUCCCAUUUAAAUAUGAGAACUUUUGGUUUUUCUUGAAACUGCAGUGCAUUAUUCGAUCUUCUUCUUCUAUUGCAAUAUUCAUGUUUUGAUGUGAAGCUCAGUUUUUUGAUGUUGAUCUAUGUAUAUUCUUGAUCAAAUUGUUAUUUGAAUUUUCUACUUAUUUUUCA
rnacentral:lncRNA from 1 species